GUGCCAGCCGCCGCGGUAAUACGUAGGUGGCGAGCGUUGUCCGGAAUUACUGGGUGUAAAGCGCGUGUAGGCGGGAGGCCAAGUCUGCUGUGAAAUCGCCCGGCUCAACUGGGCGGGGUCGGUGGAAACUGGUCACCUGGAGGACGGUAGAGGCGAGUGGAAUUCCCGGUGUAGUGGUGAAAUGCGUAGAGAUCGGGAGGAACACCAGUGGCGAAGGCGGCUCGCUGGGCCGGCCCUGACGCUGAGACGCGAAGGCGUGGGGAGCGAACGGGAUUAGAAACCCGCGUAGUCC
rnacentral:rRNA from 1 species